CCCAACAACGAAUAUUUUAACGAUAAUCUUUGAUCUCCAGAUCAUUAGAUCUAGUCAAAAGUUUUCUUCCUUGCAAAGAACUUUGAAGGUUAUUACAAAACAAUGGCGAAGAAAGCUGUGUUGAUCGGGAUCAACUACCCAGGGACUAAGAUAGAGCUAAAAGGCUGCGUCAACGACGUUCACCGGAUGCACAAGUGCCUCGUUGACCAGUACGGGUUCUCCGAGAAAGACAUCACGGUGCUGAUCGACACCGACGAUUCUUACACGCAACCCACAGGCAAAAACAUCCGUAAUGCCUUGUCUGAACUCAUAACGCCAGCUAAGCCCGGUGAUGUUCUGUUCGUGCAUUAUAGUGGACACGGUACGAGGGUCCCACUGGAAGAAGGGGAAGAGGAUGACACGGGGUUUGAUGAGUGUAUUGUUCCUUGCGACAUGAAUCCAAUCCCUGAUGAUGAUUUCAGGGAUUUAGUGGACCAAGUUCCAUCGGGAUGUAAGCUUACGUUCGUAUCAGAUUCUUGUCACAGUGGUGGACUCAUCGAUGGAGCGAAGGAGCAUAUCGGAGAGAGCACCAAUAAGAACCGAAACCAAGAACCAAAAGCUUACUUCUUCGAACGCGAGAUAUGGAACUUCUUUUAUAGCGUGUUGAUGAAGUUUCUUGCGCUUUGUGGGAUCUGGAGAUCUCAGGAAGAACAAGACAAGAUUGAGAUCACAGCGAGAUACGAAGUUGGCAAAUCAAGGUAUCUGCCAAUGGAGAGCUUCAUCAACGUUCUCGAAGAGAAAACUGGCAAAGACAACAUCGAGAUUGGGAAAAUAAGACCGACCCUUUUCGAUGUGUUUGGUGAAGAUGCGAGUCCCAAGGUGAAGAAGUUCAUAAAAGCGAUGCUCACCAAGCUAGACCAAAGUGGUUUAGUUGAGAGUGGUCGUGAGAUCUAUAGAGGAGGAUCAAGCAAGGGGUUGGUUCCAGACAGAGGGAUACUGUUGAGUGGGUGUCAAACGGAUGAGACAUCAGCAGAUGUGAAGAAGAGUGGAGAAGCUUAUGGAGCUUUUAGCAACGCGAUUCAGAUGGUUUUGUCGGAAGGUGGUGGGGAGAAAGAUAAGAUCACUAACAGGGAAUUGGUUUUGAGGGCAAGAGAGAUGCUGAAAGAACAAGGGUUUACUCAGAGACCAGGGUUGUAUUGUAAUGACCGUUUUGUGGAUGCUCCGUUUAUAUGCUAACUAUUGUUUUCAUUCAAAACUGUUUUUGCUACUGAUGGUUGUCAAUUUUUUUGUUCGAUAUGGUGUGAACACAGAGAAUAUAUUGGCCACAAAGUCAUUUUCCUAGAUAUUGGUUCACUCAUGUGCGGGCGGGCAGUUAACAAUAAGAGCACCAUUAUUAAAAUGUAAAAUUGUCGGUUAUAUAUUAUUUUCAUAAUUUAUAAUAAAUCAGUGUUAAAAACUGUUUUUGCUACUAAUGGUUGUGAAAGUUUUGUGGAUGCUCCGUUUAUAUGCUAACUAUGAUUAGAGCCCCUAUUGUUUUCAUUCAAAACUGUGUUUUGCUACUAAUGGUUGUCAAUUUUUUUUGUUCGUCAUGGUGUGAACACAAAGAAUAUAUUGGUCACAAAGUCAUUCUCUUAUCCAUAUAAUAAUAAGACCUUCAGUGUAUAUCAAAUAGUUUUGAACUUUCCUGGGUCUUGGUUCAGUCAUGUGGGGGCAGCGAACAAUAAGUGGUUCACAAACAACAGAAGAAGAUAGAGUAAUUGGUGCUGCAUUAAAUGACAGUUAAUAAAAAUAGUAGUUAGAUGUCUUUCAGAGUAGCCUUCUCAAAGAAGAAGAACAAGAAGAAGAGAGAUGUCUACGGGUAUGGGAAGUGGAAAAGGCAAAAGCCGUCCAUCACCGUCUGAUCCUUCAAUCUUAGUUUCCGACAAGAUUAACGCCAGGGAGAAGUACGCUCUCAUCCCUGACCGCUUCACUUCCCUUGACCAGGUUCAUUUCUUUCCUUUAUAACUCAAGUUCUGUCGUUGACUUGACUUUUGACCAACAUGGCUUCUGCUACUUCCAUGUUCUCUGAGUUCUUCGAAGUCUUAAGUGUUUUUAUAAAAGGUAUCGAAAGCUCUAAGAGAAGCUGGUCUUGAAUCAUCUAAUCUCAUUCUUGGAAUUGAUUUCACUAAGAGCAACGAAUGGUCUGGCAAAACAUCUUUCAAUGGAAAAAGUCUUCAUGCUCUAGGGAGAAUUCAGAAUCCAUAU